GAUCCUGGCUCAGGAUGAACGCUGGCGGCGUGCUUAACACAUGCAAGUCGAACGGGAAACCUUUUAUUGAAGCUUCGGCAGAUUUAGAUUGUUUCUAGUGGCGGACGGGUGAGUAACGCGUGGGUAACCUGCCUUGUACAGGGGGAUAACAGUCAGAAAUGACUGCUAAUACCGCAUAAGCGCACAGGACCGCAUGGUCCGGUGUGAAAAACUCCGGUGGUAUAAGAUGGACCCGCGUUGGAUUAG
rnacentral:rRNA from 1 species